GGGUAGUUUGACUGGGGCGGUCUCCUCCCAAAGAGUAACGGAGGAGCACGAAGGUUGGCUAAGCAUGGUCGGACAUCAUGCGGUUAGUGCAAAGGCAUAAGCCAGCUUGACUGCGAGAGUGACGGCUCGAGCAGGUACGAAAGUAGGUCUUAGUGAUCCGGUGGUUCUGAAUGGAAGGGCCAUCGCUCAACGGAUAAAAGGUACUCCGGGGAUAACAGGCUGAUACCGCCCAAGAGUUCAUAUCGACGGCGGUGUUUGGCACCUCGAUGUCGGCUCAUCACAUCCUGGGGCUGAAGUAGGUCCCAAGGGUACGGCUGUUCGCCGUUUAAAGUGGUACGCGAGCUGGGUUUAGAACGUCGUGAGACAGUUCGGUCCCUAUCUGCCGUGGGCGUUGGAAGAUUGAAAGGGGCUGCUCCUAGUACGAGAGGACCGGAGUGGACGCACCACUGGUGUUCGGGUUGUCAUGCCAAUGGCAUUGCCCGGUAGCUAAGUGCGGAAGAGAUAACCGCUGAAAGCAUCUAAGCGGGAAACUUGCC
rnacentral:rRNA from 1 species